CAAAUACAGUAAUCUAGAGUAUAGAGGAGGGAAGGCAAGAGAAGAACUAAUUUUCUGAAAAAUAUGCCAAACAAAUAAAUUUUCAUAAAAACUUUUUAAAAUAAAAUUUCAGUCCAAAAAUAUUUAGCAGUCAUCAUCAGAAACUAACUAUAGUCCUUUUUCAAAAACCCUUAAACACAACUGUAAUAAACUAAUUAUGACAGCCAAAUUGCAGCUGUAAAAUUUUGCUAUUUGUUUUGUCAUGGAUAGCAUGUGCCAUCAAUAGCUGACCUUGGAUGACAUAUGCCAUAAGGAGAGCCAGAUGCUUUUGACCAAAUUUAGAAUUUAGGAAUAUCUUCAAUUAAAAUCUAAAAAUUUUUUCUCAAUUUUGUGCUAAAAUUGAAAGAUAUAAUUCUCUUCUUUGAGAAAUUCUAUUGAUCACAAUUUUCCAAUUUUGAAGAAAUGUGGAAUGAAAAAUGUUUAUCAUCAAACAACCAAAUAUCAGCCAAAUAAUUUUAUAGUUUAAUAAUUAGUCAUUUAGGUAGAAUCAGUGGCAGAAAUUUAUCAGUAAUUUCAAUUAUUUCUAGAUUUAUAAUGCUAGUUUUCUUAGUAUGUAAAAUAGUAUGAAAUAACGAUGCAUUUAAAUUUUUGUGUAAAUAAAAGUUCAGAAUAUGAAAAUGAAUCUGUACUAAAGCAAUAUAGUUAUUCCAUAGGUUAAACUUGUUUAAUCUUAUAUAAAAAAAAUAGUAAACUUUUUAAAAAGGUCAUAAUGAAAGUAAUUGAGAUUUUAAACUUUAGAUUCUUAAUGCAAUUAUGAUAAUUAGUAAUCAAUUAUGAAUUUUCAACAAUUUCUUAAAAAUUGAAUGCCUACAGUUAAGAUUUUCAAGUAAAAUCAAUAUGCAGGAUAUUGGUAUCUAUCAACAUCCAGCAAAAUUUUGUUCAAAUUGGUGAGUCAGUUGACAGUUCUUUUUGUAAGUCUGCUUUUUCAUUUUCAGCUAUUGGAGGAUAUAAACUUGUGACCAAGAAAGAGUACUGAAAUAAAUGUGGGAUCCUUUUUUCAUUUCCAGGAUAGUGUUUUAUAUGCAAAGAGCAUGAAAAUAAUUUCCUUUUUUAUACCCAGAUCCCAUUUGUUUAUCCAGAGAUGCAUUCUAAAAUGUUUUUUAGUUGUAAAAUUCUGUGUUUAUCAUUCUGGGGUAAAGAUUUUCUUCUUAAGUGGUUUACAUUGUAAUUCAAUUACCACUCUUAAGUUUUGUACAUAUAUCAUCAGAUGUACAGUCUGUUUAAUAAAGGUGUAGACAUCGUCUGUAGGAGCAGCAAUGAUAGGAAGUAGAUCACUUACAAUGUCUGGAAAUUCACAGCACAGCUUCCUGUAAUGAAAUUGACUGUUCUUGUUGCCCUAUAAAUAGGAGUGUGGAGAUUAUGUAGUGGGGGAGAAUUUCAAUGACAUAAGUGACAUGAUUAAUUCCUAGUACAUUUGUUGUAUUUUUUGAUUGCUUUAAUUUUUAUAAAACACAAAAAAAC
rnacentral:lncRNA from 1 species